UCUACGGGAGGCAGCAGUGGGGAAUAUUGCGCAAUGGGCGAAAGCCUGACGCAGCGACGCAGCGUGAGGGAUGAAGGCCUUCGGGUUGUAAACCUCUUUCAGCGGGGACGAAGCGAAAGUGACGGUACCCGCAGAAGAAGCACCGGCUAACUACGUGCCAGCAGCCGCGGUAAUACGUAGGGUGCAAGCAUUGUCCGGAUUUAUUGGGCGUAAAGAGCUCGUAGGCGGCUUGUCACGUCGGGUGUGAAAACUUGGGGCCCAACCCCAAGCCUGCACUCGAUACGGGCUAGCUAGAGUGUUGCAGGGGAGACUGGAAUUCCUGGUGUAGCGGUGAAAUGCGCAGAUAUCAGGAGGAACACCGGUGGCGAAGGCGGGUCUCUGGGCAACUACUGACGCUGAGGAGCGAAAGCGUGGGGAGCGAACAGGAUUAGAUACCCUGGUAGUCCACGCCGUAAACGGUGGGCGCUAGGUGUGGGGAACCUUCCACGUUCUCUGUGCCGCAGCUACGCAUAAGCGCCCGCCGUCGGGAGGUACGGCCGCGACGGACGUAAACUACAAGAAGUAGACGGCGNGAGACGNGCCGACGGACGACGACGAGGGAGGUAGG
rnacentral:rRNA from 1 species